AUGGAAGAUGCUUUGGAGAUCAAGGACGUGGAAGAAAUCGUAGAGGCAAUCCUCAUCCGCCUCCCGCCUGGUGAGCCUGAGAAUUUCGUCUGUGCAUCCCUCGUCUGCAAACUGUGGUGCCACCUCCUCUCCGACAAUGGCUUCCUCGGCCGCUAUCGAGCCUUCCAUAAUACACCACCUAUGCUCGGACUUCUCCAUAGUUGGUUCUGCAAUGACCCCUUCAUCCCCAUCACCAAAUUUAUCCCCCGUGGUCACCCUAAACACAAUAAUGUGGCCUUCUGCCGCCACGGCCGUGUCCUAUUUUCAGAUUGGGUUAUCUGGUUCCCCAUGACGGGCAACACUAGGGAGCUACCAGCACCGCAGAGAGGCGAAAAUUGGAAUACUGAUGAAUGUGCAGCUGUGCUUUGUGCCGUUGACGGUUGCGACCAUGGGGCUUGCCAAUCGGGCCCAUUUUUUGUGGUCUCCGUCGGCCUUGACGAGGAGAAGGUGGCCACGACGAUCGUGUAUUCUUCGGAGACGAGUACUUGGAGCGCCCCGACCUCCCUUGACCUAGGCUUUAUUGAGAGUGAUAUCAGUCUCUCUUGGAUGCCCGGUGUGCUCUCCGGAGGCGCGCUACAUUUUACCUUGAUGCACGAUGCUCGUCUUGGUGUACUUAAGUAUGACUUGGGAACAUCUUGCCUAUCAGAGAUUGAGCCGGCGUUUGAGAUCCAGAGCGCCCGCUAUGACUCUCAUGCCCUGAUUGCGCCGGAGGACGGCCAACUGGGGAUUGCGAGGCUCAAUGGUUUCAAUCUCUCUGCGUACUGGAGGGAGGUUUGUCACGACCAGGUUGCAACGUGGAAAAAAUCUGAAGUCAUCGAUCUAAAGAAGCAUCUCCUUGCAAGCGAUCCCAUGAUCUCACAUACUGAGUUGGUUGGCUCUGUUGAAAGAACGGCUAUCAUCUUCGCAACCACAAAUAUUGGCACCUACAUGAUUGAUCUCAAGUCACUAAGGCCGAAGAAGCUCACGAGCGAGCUUCGUCUUUUCAACCAUCCAUGGGCUCUGUUCCCCUAUUUUAGCUUCUACAAUCCACCAGUGGGACAAGUUGAGAACGUGGCCGGUUUAGGAGAAAGUGAAAUGGGAAGCAUUGAUGAGGAAUCGGGAGAGAGUGAAUCUAGAAGCAGUGACAGGGAAUCAGGAGAAAGUGAUGCUGGAAGCAGCGAGGGCGAAAUGAGAAAACUGAUGCUGGAAGCACCGAUGGUGAAGCAAAAGAAGCCGAAGCUAGAAACAUCAUCGACGAAGCAUAGACCUUGA
rnacentral:rRNA from 1 species